GAAGGACAUCCAAAGGUAAGUUGAUUUUAUUCACAUUGAAGGAAUGUUGUGUUUUUAAUUUUUUGUUUGUUAAUAUUUAAGAGUGUAAAUUGAGUAGGAAUUUGAUUUCCACCAUGUCGAACACUCACAGUAGGCUUGGUUUGAGGGAGGUCUUUGUUUUGUUAGAGAUUGAACUCAGAAAAAAGGAGCUAAACCAAGUAGAUUUUGAUUUCAAUUUGUGAUGAUUUAAUUAUAAUUUAGAUUUGUGCAGUAGUAUUCAAUUUUAGUAGGCAUAAUUAUGGGGUUAUGAUUUAAUAAUAUGCUAUUAUUAUUUCUUGAGGAGCCAUGGAAGUUUGUAUCUCAGGCGUUGGAAUGGUGAUCUGAAUUCACGUUAAUAAAAAUUGUUUAUCUUUCCCCAAGGCUUGUUUCUUAAGUUUUUGUUGGUGAUUAUAUGUGUUUGGGAAUAACUGAUAUGCAAUUAGCUAUUAGGAGUGAUAUAAUAUAAAUAGAUGAGUCUUCUGAUGAGGGACUCUGUAUGCACAUAACAGAGUCAUAUCCUUCAAAGACUCCAAAUGGUAUAAGUAGACGAGUCUUUAGAAGGACAUGAGUAUUCUUAUAAAGAGGUCGUAUAUUCACUAUUGCAUGGUUCGAUGUGUUUUUGGUAAGAAUGUAUAUGCUCCAAAAAGGAGUCAGAUAUUCCUCGAUGGCAUCAACCUAAAACUCAUUCCAUAACACAAACACCUUAGGCACGAUUUCGCUAUUGGCCCUGAAUUAAAGAGGUCGUAUAACGAACCCCAACAGUGAAAAUAGUCGUAUAGCCCACAUGAUAGAAAAUGAUGAUAACCAUUAGUUUAUUCCCUUGGGGAUCAUAUUUGACAAUAUUCAUUUACACUAAGAAGACAAGUCAUAAUGAACACCCCUAAAAUAAAGUACUCGGUGCAACGGGUAAACACAUAAAUGUAGGAACCGAAAUCUUUUAUACAAUUGUCACUUUGUCAAUUGUCCUACAUACUGCUCGAGGAAGCGAGGAUUAGAGGCCUAGCAUUAGCCAGGCAUAGUAUGUGUUAUUAGCCGACUUGUUUGAGUCAGAAUUUCUUCAAUAAGUAGGUCAGCACACCCACUUGCCUCAAACAAACCAGUCGGAUAGUUGGAUGAGCUGCUUACUACACCAGUCCGACUGGUUAUCAUCUGUCACUAUUGGCCCAGACGUGUCAGAGUUAUUAUUAUCCUAAGGAUAACCUGAUUAGACCUUUGACACAGACUUCCGUGAUUAAGAUAGCCCACUUGUAGUAGCUUUACAUGUGUCUAACAAAUAUUGGCUCACCCGUUCUAUAAAUAAGGACCCUCCCUUAUUAGGAACAGCAGAUUUUUCUCUAGCUUGCAGGAUGCCCUUCAUUAGAAUGUCACAAAUACCCUUGCUAUACCUUCUUCCUGAGAAGCAGUUGUAGCAACAUGAUGCAGUAAGGAAGUAGUCGUAUUUAUCCCAAAGAAUGCCCUAGCACGUGCAUUAUCUCAAAACCCUCUCAGCCACAAAUCGCUAUUUCUGAUACCCUCCUAAUCGGCCAUCGCAAAGGCUGGUAGAUUAUGACAAUCAAAACUACACACUUGAGAUAGGCCUUGUGGUGCACUUCUUAAUGCCCUAUUAAUGAGGGAUGUUGAUGUAUUAGCUAGGCUUUAUAUUUCAUAAGAUAGAUAUAUUGGGACAUUUGCUUAGUAUAAAUAAAUAAAUAGGGUGUUUUUUUUUCUUUUUUAUCUAAUUAUUUAUAUAUAUAUAUAUUUUUUAUCUAAAGAUAGCUGUUAUUGUGUGACACACACCAUUUAUCAUUUACAUUGUCCAUGCUGCAUCGAAAAGUAUGCUUUAUCUUAUCUGGCAGGAAGCUAGCUGCCCAUGAAU
rnacentral:misc_RNA from 1 species